rnacentral:rRNA from 1 species
AUCGAACGCUGGCGGCAGGCCUAACACAUGCAAGUCGAACGAGUGGCGGACGGGUGAGUAAUGUCUGGGAAACUGCCUGAUGGAGGGGGAUAACUACUGGAAACGGUAGCUAAUACCGCAUACCAUCGGAUGUGCCCAGGUGGGAUUAGCUAGUAGGUGGGGUAAAGGCUAACCUAGGCGACGCUCCCUAGCUGGUCUGAGAGGGUGACCGGCCACACUGGAACUGAGACACGGCCCAGACUCCUACGGGAGGCAGCAGUGGGGAAUCUUGCACAAUGGGCGAAAGCCUGAUGAAGCCACGCCGCGUGGAUGAAGAAGGUUUUCGGGUUGUAAAGUACUUUCAGCGGGGAGGCGGUACCCGCAGAAGAAGCAACGGCUAACUCCGUGCCAGCAGCCGCGGUAAUUC